GGUCUUGUAGCUCAGUUAGUUAGAGCGUUGGUCUUAUGAGCCGAAGGUCACGGGUUUGGUCCUCGUUAGGACCA
rnacentral:tRNA from 1 species